UACGUAGGUGGCAAGCGUUGUCCGGAUUUACUGGGCGUAAAGAGCGCGCAGGCGGUCGUUCAAGGCGCGUGUGAAAGCCCCCGGCUCAACUGGGGAGGGUCACGCGAUACUGAUCGACUCGAAGGCAGGAGAGGGAAGUGGAAUUCCCGGUGUAGUGGUGAAAUGCGUAGAUAUCGGGAGGAACACCAGUGGCGAAGGCGACUUCCUGGCCUGUUCUUGACGCUGAGGCGCGAAAGCUAGGGGAGCAAACGGG
rnacentral:rRNA from 1 species